rnacentral:rRNA from 1 species
UGGGGGAUAUUGCACAGUGGGCGAAAGCCUGAUGCAGCGCCGCCGCGUGGGGGAUGAAGGCCUUCGGGUUGUAAACUUCUUUUGCUCUGAACAAGGCGCACCAUGGGGUGUGUUGAGUGUAGGGGUUGAUUAGCGCCGGCUAACUACGUGCCAGCAGCCGCGGUAAUACGUAGGGCGCGCGCGUGGUCCGGAAUUAUUGGGCGUAAAGGGCUUGUAGGUGGCUGGUUGCGUCGGUCGUGAAAGCUCAUGGCUUAAGUGUGGGUGUUCGGUGGGUACAGGCUGGCUUGAGUUCAGUAGGGGAGGCUGGAAUUCCUGGUGUAGCGGUGGAAUGCGCAGAUAUCAGGAGGAUGACCGGUGGCGAAGGCGGGGCUCGGGGCUGAUACUGACACUGAGGAGCGAAAGCAUGGGGAGCGAACGGG